AAGGGGAGAAGCUUGUGGAAGUGCAACUGGCUUGAAACUAGUUUUAGGGGGUUCGAGUCCUUCCUCCCUUG
rnacentral:tRNA from 1 species